CCCCCCCCAGGAGGGGGAGAUGCCGGACGAGCUGAACAUCGACGAACUCCUGGAGCUGGAGACGGACCAGGAACGAGCCCAGAAGCUCCAGGGAAUCCUGAGCUCCUGCGCUGCUGACACGCAGGGAUUCAUCCAGGAGCUCCUGGAGCAGCUCAAGGGGCUCCCGAAGCAGCAGCUCCUGCAGAGACCCCCCCCACAACAAGAGGGGCCCGCGGCCCCCCCGUGACCCCCCCCCCACGCGUGGGAACGGGGGGGGUCCCCAAAAAUAGGGGGGGAUGGGAUUUCCCCCCCCCCCGAUGUGUUUAACACCCCCCCACAUAAUAAAUAAAUCGUGCACCGAGGGGGGGGUGGUGGUGAGAAACCCCCCCCAAAAAAAAUAAAUAAGAUUUGG